UUGAACGCUGGCGGAAUGCUUUACACAUGCAAGUCGAGCGGCAGCGCGGGGCAACCUGGCGGCGAGCGGCGAACGGGUGAGUAAUAUAUCGGAACGUACCCUGUCGUGGGGGAUAACACAUCGAAAGAUGUGCUAAUACCGCAUACGACCUGAGGGUGAAAGCGGGGGAUCGCAAGACCUCGCGCGAUAGGAGCGGCCGAUAUCGGAUUAGCUAGUUGGUGAGGUAAAGGCUCACCAAGGCGACGAUCCGUAGCUGGUCUGAGAGGACGACCAGCCACACUGGAACUGAGACACGGUCCAGACUCCUACGGGAGGCAGCAGUGGGGAAUUUUGGACAAUGGGGGAAACCCUGAUCCAGCCAUUCCGCGUGAGUGAAGAAGGCCUUCGGGUUGUAAAGCUCUUUCGGCAGGAAAGAAAACGCAUCGGUGAAUACCCGGUGUGGAUGACGGUACCGUAAGAAGAAGCACCGGCUAACUACGU
rnacentral:rRNA from 1 species